AAUGGAGGAAACUCUGAUGCAGCGACGCCGCGUGAGUGAAGAAGUAAUUCGUUAUGUAAAGCUCUAUCAGCAGGGAAGAUAGUGACGGUACCUGACUAAGAAGCUCCGGCUAAAUACGUGCCAGCAGCCGCGGUAAUACGUAUGGAGCAAGCGUUAUCCGGAUUUACUGGGUGUAAAGGGAGUGUAGGUGGCCAUGCAAGUCAGAAGUGAAAAUCCGGGGCUCAACCCCGGAACUGCUUUUGAAACUGUAAGGCUAGAGUGCAGGAGGGGUGAGUGGAAUUCCUAGUGUAGCGGUGAAAUGCGUAGAUAUUAGGAGGAACACCAGUGGCGAAGGCGGCUCACUGGACUGUAACUGACACUGAGGCUCGAAAGCGUGGGGAGCAAA
rnacentral:rRNA from 1 species